rnacentral:rRNA from 1 species
CACGUAGGGGGCGAGCGUUGUCCGGAAUUACUGGGUGUAAAGGGCGUGUAGGCGGGGAUGCAAGUCAGAUGUGAAAUUCCGGGGCUCAACCCCGGCGCUGCAUCUGAAACUGUGUCUCUUGAGUGCUGGAGAGGAAAGCGGAAUUCCUAGUGUAGCGGUGAAAUGCGUAGAUAUUAGGAGGAACACCAGUGGCGAAGGCGGCUUUCUGGUCUGUAACUGACGCUGAGGCGCGAAAGCGUGGGUAGCAAACAGG